rnacentral:misc_RNA from 1 species
GAUGAAGAACGCAGCGAAAUGCGAUAAGUAAUGUGAAUUGCAGAAUCCAGUGAAUCAUCGAAUCUUUGAACGCACAUUGCGCCCGCCAGCAUUCUGGCGGGCAUACCUGUUCGAGCGUCAUUUCAACCCUCGACCUCCCUUUGGGGAAGUCGGCGUUGGGGACCGGCAGCACACCGCCGGCCCUGAAAUGGAGUGGCGGCCCGUCCGCGGCGACCUCUGCGUAGUAAUCCAACUCGCACCGGAACCCCGACGCGGCCACGCCGUAAAACACGCAACUUCUGAACGUUGACCUCGAAUCAGGUAGGACUACCCGCUGAACUUAAGCAUAUCAAUAAGCGGAGGA